rnacentral:rRNA from 1 species
AUUGAACGCUGGCGGCAUGCCUUACACAUGCAAGUCGAACGGCAGCGCGGACUUCGGUCUGGCGGCGAGUGGCGAACGGGUGAGUAAUACAUCGGAACGUACCCUGUUGUGGGGGAUAACUAGUCGAAAGAUUAGCUAAUACCGCAUACGACCUGAGGGUGAAAGUGGGGGACCGGAAACGGCCUCAUGCAGCAGGAGCGGCCGAUGUCUGAUUAGCUAGUUGGUGGGGUAAAGGCCCACCAAGGCGACGAUCAGUAGCUGGUCUGAGAGGACGAUCAGCCACACUGGGACUGAGACACGGCCCAGACUCCUACGGGAGGCAGCAGUGGGGAAUUUUGGACAAUGGGGGCAACCCUGAUCCAGCAAUGCCGCGUGCGUGAAGAAGGCCUUCGGGUUGUAAAGCACUUUUGUCCGGAAAGAAAUCGCGCUGGUUAAUACCUGGCGUGGAUGACGGUACCGGAAGAAUAAGCACCGGCUAACUACGUG